rnacentral:rRNA from 1 species
CUGCGGAAGGUCAUUACUGAGUGAGGGCCCUCUGGGUCCAACCUCCCACCCGUGUUUAUUGUACCUUGUUGCUUCGGUGCGCCCGCCUCACGGCCGCCGGGGGGCUUCUGCCCCCGGGUCCGCGCGCACCGGAGACACUAUUGAACUCUGUCUGAAGAUUGCAGUCUGAGCAUAAACUAAAUAAGUUAAAACUUUCAACAACGGAUCUCUUGGUUCCGGCAUCGAUGAAGAACGCAGCGAAAUGCGAUAACUAAUGUGAAUUGCAGAAUUCAGUGAAUCAUCGAGUCUUUGAACGCACAUUGCGCCCCCUGGUAUUCCGGGGGGCAUGCCUGUCCGAGCGUCAUUGCUGCCCUCAAGCACGGCUUGUGUGUUGGGCUCCGUCCCCCCGGGGACGGGUCCGAAAGGCAGCGGCGGCACCGAGUCCGGUCCUCGAGCGUAUGGGGCUUUGUCACCCGCUCUGUAGGCCCGGCCGGCGCCAGCCGACAACCAAUCAUCCUUUUUUCAGGUUGACCUCGGAUCAGGUAGGGAUACCCGCUGAACUUAAGCAUAUCAAUAAGCGGAGGAAAAGAAACCAACAGGGAUUACCUCAGUAACGGCGAGUGAAGCGGUAAGAGCUCAAAUUUGAAAGCUGGCUCCUUCGGGGUCCGCAUUGUAAUUUGCAGAGGAUGUUUCGGGAGCAGCCCCCAUCUAAGUGUCCUGGAACGGACCGUCAUAGAGGGUGAGAAUCCCGUAUGGGGAUGGGGUGUCUGCGCC